GCAGCAGCGGCAGCAGCAGCCGCGGUCAGACGGCGGCAUGAACGGCUCGGGCCGGGGGCUGUGCGAGCGGGGCGAGGAGCUGCCCCCCGGCGCCAGCCCCCACAUCAGCGCCCUCAUGUUCUCCGCCGGGCUCCUGGGCAACCUGCUGGCGCUGGGGCUGCUGCUGCGCUGCCGCCGCCGGCCCCGCGCCCGCCCGCCCGCCCUCUUCCACGUCCUCGUGCUGGCCCUGGUGGUCACCGACCUGCUGGGCACCUGCUCCGUCAGCCCCGUGGUGCUGGCCUCCUACCACCGCAACCGCACCCUGACGGCCCUGGCCCAGGGCGGCCACGUCUGCCGCUACUUCGGCUUCUCCAUGAGCUUCUUCGGCCUCGCCACCAUGCUCAUCCUCUUCGCCAUGGCGCUGGAGCGAUGCCUGGCCCUGGGCCAGCCCUAUUUCUACGAGCGCUUCCUCAGCCCCCGCACCGGCUUGAUCGCCCUGCCCGCCGUCUACACCUUCUCCGCUGCCUUCUGCUCCUUACCCCUGCUGGGCUUCGGGCAUUACGUGCAAUACUGCCCCGGCACCUGGUGCUUCAUCCAGAUGCACUUGGACUACCUGCAGCACGACGGCAGCAAGGGGGUGUCCGGCAUGGACGUCACCUUCUCGCUGCUCUACGCCACCCUGCUCCUGUUUCUCAUCCUCUCCGUGCUGCUCUGCAACCUCAGCGUCAUCGCCAACCUGGUCCGCAUGCACCGCCGGGGGCAGAAGACCCGCCGGCUGGCCACGCCGGAGCAGCCCCGGGUGGCCGGGGGCCGCGCUCGUGGGAUGUUCUCCAUGGCGGAGGAGAUCGACCACCUCCUUCUGCUCUCCAUCAUGACCAUCACCUUCGUCAUCUGCUCCCUGCCAUUCACGAUCCGUGCGUACGUGAACAAGUUCAGCGAGGCGGCGGACGGCCACGACUGGGACCUUCUGGCUCUGAGGUUUCUGUCCAUUAACUCCAUCGUGGACCCUUGGGUCUUUGCCAUCCUGAGACCACCGGUCUUACGGCUCAUGCGCUCCAUCCUGUGCUGUCGGAUGCCCCGCCGGAGCCCGGAGACCGCACAGGCGCCGUCUGCCGCGAAGACGAAACUGGCGCCACAGCUUCACUUCUGCGGGCAGUAGGUGCGGUGGCUUUUCCAGGAGAGGUGGAGAAGGCCGGGCUGCGGAGCGUCAACCAGGCGCCGCUCAAGGGCCAAUGAACGAACCCACCUGCCGCACCAGGACCGAGCUCCGGCCAGCAUCCGGCCGCACCGGGCAUCGCUGGAGCCCGCGCGGCGGGACCGUGGCCUCGGGACGCGCUCGCUCGUGGUGGGACGGGACCCGAGAAGCUGGCGAGUAACCAGACGCUGGAUGGGGCCACCCUUGCCCAGCGAAGGGCAGCGCUGACAUGAAGAAACCCGUGCGGCUCUCGGCUGAAACAGCACGGAAAACUCCCCAGAAACACUCGGAGGCGACGGCCCCAGGUGGGAGAGGGCAGCAGGUUUCCCGAAAGGUGAAGAUAAACCCAGGCCAUUGCGUGACAAAAACCUGCAGGUUUUUUUUCUCCCCUCCCUGCCCCCCCCAGCAACGGGGCCCCUGAGAUACAGAAAUCGCCUCACCUUCGGGCUGCGUUUUGGGCAGAAACAGAAGAAAUGUUGCAUGAAAACAAGCCGCAUCCGGGUGCUCUUUGGACUCUCUGCAGGCCCCGGUGGCGGGUUCAGCUCUGCAGCCAGCGUUUGCCUUGCCCGAAGAUUAUAUAUCCUGAGCCCAGGGAAAGGCUGCACAAAGCUCCCAAAAUGAAGUGGCCAAAAAAGAAAAAAGAAAGAAAGAAAAGGAAAACCCUAGGAGAAGGCAGAGCCCCGAGCUGCCGUUCGUGCCGGCCUCGGGGCUCGGAAAACGCCGCCAGGCAGCAAGGGAGCGAGGAAGAGAAAGAAAAAGGAAGAAAGGAAGAAGGAAGGAGGGAGGGAAAGAGAAAGA